CUCCUCUCUCUCUCUCUCUCUCUCUCCCUCUCUCUCUCUCUCUCUCUCUCUCUCUCCUGCCCCAGUGCCCCGUCCUAAAUUCAUUGCCCGUACUCAUCCAUCUAAUCCUUCUCUGUGGACUAGAUCGCUGAUUAGAGAAAGAGGGCCCUUCAUGACCAGUCGACUCGGGUCAGACUCAGCUCAGGCGGUCUCCAACUCGCUCUCGAGCUCACUCCAGCUCUAGCUGAUCAUCAACGACACCGUUUCACCAUGACCCAGGUGUUUAAUUUUCUUUAGUUUUUUGUUUUCUCGGCUUUUGAAACCCUGGAUUUCCAUCUAGAAACUUAUACCAUGGAAAAAUGUCUCCAAGUCGCCAACUUGAUGGCCUAAUUUUAGCUUGACUUGCUGAUUUUUGUGUUGUGGAUGAAGUUUCCGAUUUGGGUUUGCUCCAAUUAGGGUUCUUUCCCAUCUCGGUUUCUUCAAUUUUGUGGGUUUUCAUACGGAUUUGUUCGUGAUUUUUUAUUACGAUUAGGGUUUUUUGAACUGUGCGCCAAAUGUUGUUCAAUUUGGAUGAUUUUUGUGGUUCUGUGAUUUGGGUUUCAUCAGUUUUGUGGUGAAGCUAGGGUUUCUGAUCUGGGUUUGUUAAAUUUGUGAUAUAAUAAGCCUUUUGGUUGUGUGAAUGGGUGAGGAGACGUCUGAUGCAAUGAACCUUGACCUGAAUCUGGGUCCUGGUCCCGAUGCUGGCUCAAUGUCAAAUGAACCUGUAAAUUUGGAUGCUUGGACUGAAGCGCCUAUCCGCAGAAUUUGCGGAAAGCUAUGAGGAGGGCCAGGCAGAGGAUGGCCGCUACCUGAAAGGCGGAAUAUUUCCACGCUACCUGAAAGGCGGAAUAUUUCCAUGCUACCUGAAAGGCGGAAUAUUUCCAUGGAGUUGAAUGAAUUGAUGGUCAACUCUGGUAACUCAAGUACAUUACAACCCGGUGAGGGUAGCCUUACAGCAGAAGAAAGAACAAGUGACGCACCCAAGACAUGUGAUAAUAACAAUGGGAUUUUGGAAAAUGAGAAUUCUGAGAAUAAGGAUGAUGUUGAAAAGGGCGGUGGCAGUGAUGGGAGCUUUUUCGAUUGUAAUAUUUGUUUGGACUUGGCUAGGGACCCUGUUGUGACUUGUUGUGGUCAUUUGUUUUGUUGGCCAUGCAUUUACCGUUGGUUGCAUGUGCAAGAUGCAAAGGAAUGCCCUGUUUGUAAGGGAGAGGUAACAAUGAAGAAUGUCACCCCAAUCUAUGGUCGUGGAAACAACGUGCGUGAGCAAGAUGACGACUCAAAUCUUAAGAUCCCUCUUAGGCCUCAUGCACGUCGGGUUGAAAGUUUUAGACAAACCAUUCAGAGGAGUGCAUUGAGUUUUCCGGUAGAGGAGAUGAUUCGCCGUCUUGGUAAUAGAUUUGAUUUGACUCGGGAUGUUAUUCAUCCAUCAGAGCCUGAGAAUACCCGGGAAGCAGCAGAAAGAACUAAUUUGUUAAAUAGGAUUCUGACAUCUCGAGGACUGCGCAGAGAGCAAAAUCCAGUGGUACUUGCAGAUGAUGUUGUGGAUUUAACGCAAAGCAACGUGACCGCUGUUGAAACAAGGGAAAACCGCCAACUUCAGUCCUUACUACUUAGAAGGACACAAUCGCACAGAGCAACACUAUCUUCUCUCUCGUCUGCAUUGAGUUCUGCUGAAAGGUUAGUUGAGGCAUAUUAUCGUAACCGUAAUAGAAAUCAAGAACAACAGCAGCCUGCACCAGUUGAUGAUAGAGAUUCUUUCUCAAGUAUUGCAGCUGUUAUAAAUUCAGAGAGCCAACUGGACACAGCUGUGGAAAUUGAUUCCAUGGUUUCCCUUUCAACUUCAUCUUCCAGAAGAAGAAAUGAUUCGUCAAGAGUUUCGGACAUGGACAGUGGAGAUUCUCGUGCCCACAGAAGAAGAAGACUUAACUGAAAGCAUCUUCUUCAGCCCACAGUAGCCUGCACCAGUUGCUGAUAGAGAUUCUUUCUCAAGUAUUACUGCUGUUAUAAAUUCAGAAAGCCAACUGGACACUGCUGUGGAAAUCGAUUUCAUGGUUUCCCUUUCAACUUCAUCUUCCAGAGGAAGAAGUGAUUCGUCAAGGGUUUCGGACAUGGACAGUGGAGAUUCUUGUGCCGCCAGAAAGAAGACUGAACUGCAGCAUCUUCUUCAGUUCACCAAACGUUAUCCUGUAUGUGCUCUUUGACUUUUAUUUUAUUACCCUUUCCUCCUCUUAAAUGCCUUUCCCAGUUCAGACUCUAGGAAGUAUUCACCUUUGCCGUAACCUUUGUCCUUUGACUUUGAUGAAGUGUGAUUAUGGAACUUCCGCAGCUAUCUGCUUGAUUUA